GUUUUUCGAAUCAAUGAAUUGCUUCAGUAUCCGAAAGUUCCACCUGGGGAUCGUUCUCUACUGAAGCGUCGAAUUAGUAUGCAGACCUUCAAAUUUAGGGUCUUGAAUCAAAGAUCAAGUAGUAUCAUCAAGAACAAGGUCAGCAGGGUCCCCAAUCCAAGGACGUCCUUCCCUCCACCUGAAUCUAACUCUUACUUUUCCAUUUGCAUCAACACCUACUACUUGGCCUUUACUGGCAUGUGUCUCCAUUCCCCAUCCCCAUCUAGGGAUUUUCAAUCCUUCCCGAAAUCUCACCGUGUCGCCGACUCUAAAGGGUCUCACCUUCUCCAUCUCCCAGUCCUUGCACAUCCACAGUUGCUCCAUAAAGCAGAAGGCGACCCAAAGCUCCCCAUCCUCCAUCUUGUGGAUCACCCCGACACUCUGACGAGAAACGUCCCCCCAAU
rnacentral:misc_RNA from 1 species